rfam:Sebaldella termitidis ATCC 33386, complete genome.
UUUUUAAAAAAUUUUAAGCCAAAGACAGUAGGUUGGAGUAAUCCGGUAAAUCCUACCGAGGUUAAUUAAGCAUAGAGCUAUGUUUUCCUCUGAGUUAUUGUCUUUGCAAAUCAGAGGUUUUUUAUAUAGAGG